CUGGAGGGUCUCCCAGGUGCCUUUUCUCAGGGCAAUGAGCCUCAGUUUCUCCUCCCAGCCCUAUCUGUGACACCCACACCUCUGCCAGGCUCACAGGUUUGGGAGCCCAAGCUUGCUGUGAGCUGUGCCUUCUGUUGGUGCCUCUGCUGCUCUGACUUACUGAUUGCGUGGACUCCACACCUACACUGUUUAGUAACACGUUCAGCUGUUGGAAUACAAUGCAGAACCAUUGCAACAUCUGAGCACUGUCACAACCUUGAAUCAGCCAGAAAGCUCUGUAGCAGCUCCUGAACCAUCUCUUACAAAUGAAUAUUUCUUGAGGUUUCUAUGGCCAACAAAAGAAUUCCAUCACCCUGAGAUGCUCACUAUCAAAUAUUUGAGUGUGGCAGCUAUAAAAUGUCGAUGAAUUCCAGGAUCAACAACAGCUACAUGUACUUGGCUUGGGCAAGCAUCCAGUACAGUGAAUGAGUGAAGUCUGAGUUGCAGCACCUGCACACUGAGAAAUAUUGGUUUCUUGAGAUAUUUAUAAAUUGGAACAGAUCCAGACACGAGACUUCAGCAUCCAGAAAAUCCGGAUGAAAGGAAAACCAAAAUGAGCAGUAUUUUUGUUUAUUAAUAAGGAUUUGAAUAAAGAGCACAGAAUUAAGAAUAUGCAAAAGCAGCACCUUUUUUAGAGUUAUCUAGAAUAGAAAAAAACAAAAUUACAAAGUAGGAGUAGCAGUCUCUGUAACCUGUAGUCAUUAAUGUCUGACCAGGUUUCAAAAUCUGAAAGAUUUUGUGCUGGCACAAGCAUCUGUGCAAAUAAAAAACCCUGAUCCAAAGACAUCAGGUGAAAUUACAAAACUUCCCUUUUGUCAAGUACAGGAACUUCCCUUUCCUAGCCCCCAGCAGUUUCAAACUCAGGGACAGAGCAGUGAUAUCUGCAUCCCCUUGUGAUAACAGGAUGGAGAUUUCAGCAGGAGCCCAGACUUUUCCCAUGCCGAAGAAAAUAGAUGCCAAAUCAGAAUUCUGGAGUCUGCAAGGAUUCUGAGGUGGUGCUUUUCAGAGAGGAGCUCGGCAGAAGGUGGUAGCAGGUAACAACUGCUUUCACAGAAAUUUUACUGCAUUUUUGAGAGCUAUGGGCAUAAGGCUCCCACAAGAAACCACAGGAAUCUCUUCAGACCUGCAAAUUUCACUGAGUUUUCAAUGUCAGGUGAUGGCAACUACAGAUACAAUGUCACUUUCUAUCUCCCUAAAUUGCCUUCUCUGUAGAGGAUCUUGAGGUUGUUCACAUGAAAUUAAUUACAGUAUUGUCAAAUAUAAAAUCUCAUAAAAUCUCCAUCUCCUUUCAUUUUUGGGCGAAAGUUUCUCUAUCACAGUCUUAACAAUUUUAUUUCUUUCUUGAGAUGUCUAAUUGCUCCUUUAGAGAGAUGUAAAGGAAGUGGAAGAAUAGAUUUGCAGGAAAUUAUUUCAAGGUGUGGGUUUGUUUCGGUGUUCUGGCGGGGGAUGAGGAGAAGGGUCUUACUGCUAAUAGAGAGAGAAUUUUCAACUGAGGCAGUAUCAAGGAGUAUCUUCAUAAACCUCAUCCUGAAUUAGUGAUAUAAAAUAUGGCUGUCAUAUUUAUCAAGAAGGGAAGGAUUUCCUAUUAUUCUUCUAAUUACCAAAGAACAUAUUCAAUGUGAGAAAGCAUUACUACAUUAUUUAUAUUAAUGUGUGUGGAACAACUUGUGUAGAACUACCAUUCCAUUUUUGUAACAUCAUGUUUUGGAGAUCGUACUUUACCAAAAAAACCUAUGAUGUUCAAAGUGACUUAAAAAUGUAAAUUACACUUUAUUAUAACAUUAAAAGAGCUCCAUGUUAUAUAUUUUUGA